AUACGUAGGUGACAAGCGUUAUCCGGAUUUACUGGGCGUAAAGGGCGUGUAGGCGGUCUUGCAAGUCAGAAGUGAAAUUCCUGAGCUCAACUCGGGCGCUGCUUCUGAAACUGCAGGACUUGAGUGCUGGAGGGGAUAGCGGAAUUCCUAGUGGAGCGGUAAAAUGCGCAGAUAUUAGGAAGAACACCGGUGGCGAAGGGGGCUAUCUGGACAGUAACUGAGGCUGAGGCGCGAUAGCGUUGGGAGCAAACAGGAUUAGAUGCCCUGGUAGUCCACGCCGUAAACGAUGAAUACUAGGUGUAGGGGGUAUCGACUCCCUCUGUGCCGCAGUUAACACAAUAAGUAUUCCGCCUGGGGAGUACGGCCGCAAGGUUGAAACUCAAAUGAAUUGACGGGG
rnacentral:rRNA from 1 species